UACGAGGGGGGCAAAUGUUGUUCGGAAUCACUGGGCGUAAAGGGAGCGUAGGCGGGCUCUUAAGUAAGGUGUUUAAUCCCGGGGCCCAACCCCGGACCGGCACUUUAAACUGGGAAUCUUGAAUAGUGGAGAGGUCGGUGGAAUUGGGGGUGUAGCGGUGGAAUGCGUAGAGAUCCCCAAGAACACCAGUUGCGAAGGCGGCCGACUGGACACAUAUUGACGCUGAGGCUCGAAAGCAUGGGGAGCAAACAGG
rnacentral:rRNA from 1 species